rnacentral:lncRNA from 1 species
CACCCGCAUCGCCCGCAGCUCCUCCACCUCCCGCUGCAGCCGGCGGUUCUCCUCCGUCAGCGACCCGAAGCAGCGCUUCAGGUACUCGCACUCCAUCUCCGUCUGCUUCAGCUUCGUCCUGCACACAGCCACCAGCUCCCAUCACUUUCUGUUCUGCCACGUACGUUACGAUCAGUAACAAUCGGGCAGCGAUUGAGCGUUAACAAAUGAAAAGAUGUUUCUGCCAUGAACUUGCCGAAGUUAACUGCGCGACAUUACUAUUAUUAGUAGCUCAGUACUACUUGAUUGCAGAUUAAAAUAGCGGCAUGAACUAGAGUAGUUACUCAAUUUGACCUUAGGCGUCCAUUCCGAUAUCAUUGUCACCUCGACGGCGACGUAGAGUGAAGGCAAUGGCCUUUGUAGGGAUCAAUUGAAAUGGAUUGGCGUUCAGGUUACAAGUUGUACGCCAUCCUUCACGGGACGUGUUAAACUAAGAUUUCGCAUUAGGUAGCUAGGGUCAAAGUUACAGAGAGCUGUAGCACGUGCCGAUUAGUCCACGUGCCGGCGCCAUUGGAACAAGCAACUCGGUUUUUUUUAAUCCUGGAAUCAAACCGAACGAGUAUCAUGGAGUAAUCUACGCCAUCUAGCAGCAAUUCAUAAGUGAUGAUGGAACUGCCUACACUUUAUCAGGCUAGAGAAUCUAGCUAAUUGUUUGUUGUCUCACAUCUUGGAUGCACUACUAGUUUCAAGAUGGAUACCUAAGGAUCCUUGUCACCUUCGUGAGGGAAAAGAUUGCAUAAUUUUGUUGGAAUGAUGGGUUCAUUGUGGUCCUGCUAGUAUAACUUGUGUUGCACCAACACUAAUAAGUGUAGUAAUCAAUCUAGCUUUUACGUAGGCUCUAAUGCAAAUUUGUAAAGAAAUGCCAUAUAGUGGUCGCUUUCAAGAUCAUCAUUUAGCAUAAGCCGGAUUGACUGUACUCUAAUGCCUUUUGUCUUUUGUGAAGUUUUGUCACAUGAACCAUUUCAAAUGCUAAUACUUCUAUGUAUGGCUAACAUAUAUAGGAUCAAGUAUGCUUCUUCGUCACAUUCUCGUGUACAAGUCUUUGCCUUGGUAUGUACAGAACAUAGCUAUUUAUAGCGGAGAAAAUACUCUAGUAUAUGAUAGUGUAACGAGGACUGAGGAGUAGAUUCUACUGAAAUGAUAAAUAAAGAAGCUUGUGAACUUAUUAUUGGG